rnacentral:tRNA from 1 species
GCGAGCGUUGUCUAGCCUGGUAGGAUCUGGCCUUCCCAAGGCCAUGGCCCGGGUUCAAAUCCCGGCGCUCGCA